AAUGGAAUGAAGACCACAGAGAGGGGUCAUGCAACCGCAAAACCAGGCGUCAGGCAUGGGUUCUCUUCAGGAAGCAUCUAUCCUGCCAGCCACCUCGCAGUAAGCAUCAGGGUCGGCGACAAGCUCUACCCAAAUUCAGCAAGCUACAACGAAUGCUCCAGUUCAAUCGGCUUCGGAGCAAAUAACACCACAAUCUGCACCUGCCACUGCUCAAGUUCCACCAUCCUCCUCUGCCACCGGGGUGGAGCGGAGGAUCUUCUGGAACGCCUCAUGAUGAAAGAAUUGAAGAUGGAGAGAAGAAUGGUAAACUAAUCUGCUUCUGUGAAGAAGGAUCAACUUGUCAGCUUCUUGUCCAAGGUCAAAGAGGAAUAGGAACUGCAGGCAUCAGCAUAAGAAAGCUCCCUGCAUGCCAAGAACCUCCUGCACGACUUCCUGGUAACGUUUUGGUGGCACCAACUUCCGCUUGGAACUCUCCACCUCUGAAACACCGACGAAGGAAAGCUCCCUUGAAGUCUGGAACCAGGAACAAAGGAGGCCAGAUCCACUGCAACCAGAACCUAUAAAGCUCCCUGCAUGCCAAGAACCUCCUGCACGACUUCCUGGUAACGUUUUGGUGGCACCAACUUCCGCUUGGAACUCUCCACCUCUGAAACACCGAAGAAGGAAAGCUCCCUUGAAGUCUGGAACCAGGAACAAAGGAGGCCAGAUCCACUGCAACCAGAACCUAUAAAGGUGUUUUGCCCUUGCAAGUAUCGAGCCUGCCUGUUAAAAAAUUUCCAUUAUGGGGAGGACCUGAUGAUGUUUCCCUCUGAGGGCCAUUUUUGGCCACGCCCCGGUUUCAGCGUUCAGCGUCUGGCGGUUCUGCUAACUGCAAUGGCGAUUACAUCAACUUUAGUUCUAAAUGUAGAGAAUUGGAAAAUUCCAGUGUGCAGCAUAGUAAGCAGCAUUCAGAUUCCACCUUAAGAAAAUCAGAGAGCCAGAGGGUCAUGGAGCAUCACCUGAGUAUCCUUUGUUGAAGAAGCAGCAAUGCACCACUGGGACUUAGCGGAACACAUUGGGCGAGCCAAUAACAUGAGUCAUUUAUGUGCAGCCACCAAUCAGCAGAUCCUGAGCCUACACAGGUGUCCUUUAGAACAAAACAAAUGAAAUAGAAGUAGUUUGGAAAGUUGUUCAAAAUCACAUGCUCCAUCUGAAUCAUGAAAGAAAUAAAAAUGUGGUUCAUAUCCCUUUAA